rnacentral:rRNA from 1 species
UUCGGAAUGACGAUUUAGUGACUGAGUGGCGGACGGGUGAGUAACGCGUGGGUAACCUGCCUUAUACAGGGGGAUAACAGUUAGAAAUGACUGCUAAUACCGCAUAAGCGCACAGCAUCGCAUGAUGCAGUGUGAAAAACUCCGGUGGUAUAAGAUGGACCCGCGUUGGAUUAGCUAGUUGGUGAGGUAACGGCCCACCAAGGCGACGAUCCAUAGCCGACCUGAGAGGGUGACCGGCCACAUUGGGACUGAGACACGGCCCAAACUCC